CGACUUCUACAGCCUGUGAGUGUGAGCCUGACACUUCGGCACUUUGGAAUCAAGCUGUGAAUUAAGUAAACGGGGAAUAUUGGCCACAAGAUUUGUUAAUGUAAUCAAAGAGAACAAUUUUUAUUUUUAAACUUUAUGUUGUUACAAUCUGUGUUCAUGAGAGAAUCCUAGAGUUUAAUAUGACAGUAUUUCAGUUGUUUUCCAAUCAACUAGUGGAAUCUAGUUGCUUGUUAGCUGAUGAUGUCUUCAAAAAUCCAAGGGUGUGGAAUCCUGGAAGUGUUGCUGACUUCUAACUCCGCCGCUCCAACUCCAGUCAACAUUUGGUCUUGCGGAUGCAUCUAUACAUACUUUCUUGCCAGAAGUCAUUCUUUUGUGAGCUGCCGGAGGAUUUUGAAUCCUCCCAACAUUUUUAACAUUAUUAGUUAUUUCCCUGAGAUCGCGUGUCGGCCGCCGACGUCAAUCUACAACGCAUUUUUUUUCUUUAUUAGAAAUUUGUGGUCCUGGCACGGCGAUCCUUGAGCAGAUGCUGGCCUUGUCCAUGACGGAAGACUGAUUCUCUGCACCACCGAUAUCUUCGCCAAGCACGCUGAUCCAGUUUCACUGCUUCUUGAGCUGCUACUCAACUCGUCUUGCUUCACUGACUACUUAGACAACUUCUGUGAUCGCUUCCGUCCGCUGUGACACACCUGUAGUCACUCACCAAAGAAUUAUGCAAAGGUACCCGAAAAUUGACUAAUUCCCGUAGAUUAUCUAACAGCUUUAAACUGCUUUAAACUCUUGUGUCCGAGUUGGUAAAUCAGGACCUUCUUGCGAGUCGAAAGCGAAGUGUCUGACUUCAAUGUUUCUUUUUUCUAACGCCUUUACCAUGGAGUUUGAUCAUUUUCAACUGUUUAAUAGUCAGUUUCAGUUAUUUUCCAAAUCCCAGAAAACAUUUAUCGGCAGUUACUGUGUGGUAAUUUUUGGUAGAUAACUGACGAUUAGCAAUUUUCGUCAAUUGCUUUUUUGUCUACUUCCGGUUUCUAAAUUUUAGUUAAUAGUUCUGUAAAUAAUCAUCUGACGACAAAAAGAACCAGAUAUUCGUGAUCCUAAUUUAAUUUGGUUGUCAAUAGACAGUAUUGGAAAAUCGUCCAAAAUAGUUUAGGAAAAUUCUCGAUUUUGGCCAAAUUUUGGUUUUCGUUAUUCCAAUCAAAAAUUAAAAACCCGCUGAUUUCAGUUCUCCCCUUUGCGUCGAAGCAUGUGCAAGUUUUCAUUUUCAAAUUAAACUUUUUUAGAGGACCUUGAACGCCGAACAAUUAAUGAUUUUGGUCGGUGGUUGACUACGAGAGCCGUAUUGUAAUAGAAUCAAUUGCCGUUUGAUGUCCUUUGUUUUCAAACAUGGACUCGUUGAGUUUCAAAAAUUUCUGAUGUCAGAAGUUGAGGUAAACCACGGUAUUAAACCAGCCAUCACAUUCAAAAUAGGCUGAUUGCUUGUUCAGUUUUGUUUCUUAUUUCCCCUGCCCCGUAGUGAGUUGCUGCCACUCACUACGGUGUACUUGGAUAAUUUUUCCAUCAUAUAAUUUGCAAAGGUUUGAAUUCCUUAAGGUUACUGAAUGUAAUUUUUGAUGCGUGAAUUUACAAGUAAUCUAGCCUAUAAUUUCCUUUCGGACCGUAACUGCUGUACAUUUUACCAAAAUGUCAUCUCUUGCUAUGCUGCAACAUUUUGUCGAAAUGUCGUCUAUUUGCCAUGCUAGCUGUAUCAGCUGUACGUCUCAAUUUUUUCUCGAUUGGUGCUCUUCAAACACCAUCAACAUGUUGAUUUGAAUUUAAAUCCCCCUUGUCCCUGUCCCUAUUAAACCACUCAAUUUGGCUUAACCAACCAACAAUACUUUAUUUCUUACACACAUCUCUGUAUUCUACUAUUCCUAGAUAAGGU